ACGGGGGGGGCAAGCGUUGUUCGGAUUCACUGGGCGUAAAGGGUGCGUAGGUGGUCGGGUAAGUCUGAUGUGAAAUCUCCGAGCUUAACUCGGAAACUGCAUCGGAUACUAUUCGGCUGGAGGGUUGGAGGGGGGACUGGAAUACUUGGUGUAGCAGUGAAAUGCGUAGAUAUCAAGUGGAACACCAGUGGCGAAGGCGAGUCCCUGGACAACUCCUGACACUGAGGCACGAAAGCUAGGGGAGCAAACAGGA
rnacentral:rRNA from 1 species